rnacentral:rRNA from 1 species
GAUGAACGCUGGCGGCGUGCCUAAUACAUGCAAGUCGAGCGAACAGACGAGGAGCUUGCUCCUCUGACGUUAGCGGCGGACGGGUGAGUAACACGUGGAUAACCUACCUAUAAGACUGGAUAACUUCGGGAAACCGGAGCUAAUACCGGAUAAUAUAUUGAACCGCAUGGUUCAAUAGUGAAAGACGGUUUUGCUGUCACUUAUAGAUGGAUCCGCGCCGCAUUAGCUAGUUGGUAAGGUAACGGCUUACCAAGGCAACGAUGCGUAGCCGACCUGAGAGGGUGAUCGGCCACACUGGAACUGAGACACGGUCCAGACUCCUACGGGAGGCAGCAGUAGGGAAUCUUCCGCAAUGGGCGAAAGCCUGACGGAGCAACGCCGCGUGAGUGAUGAAGGUCUUCGGAUCGUAAAACUCUGUUAUUAGGGAAGAACAAAUGUGUAAGUAACUAUGCACGUCUUGACGGUACCUAAUCAGAAAGCCACGGCUAACUACGU